UACGUAGGGGGCAAGCGUUGUCCGGAUUUAUUGGGCGUAAAGAGCUCGUAGGCGGUUCAGCAAGUCGGGUGUGAAAAUCCGGGGCUCAACCCCGGACUUGCAGUGGGUACGGGCAGACUAGAGUGUGGUAGGGGAGACUGGAAUUCCUGGUGUAGCGGUGAAAUGCGCAGAUAUCAGGAGGAACACCGAUGGCGAAGGCAGGUCUCUGGGCCACUACUGACGCUGAGAAGCGAAAGCAUGGGGAGCGAACAGG
rnacentral:rRNA from 1 species